rnacentral:lncRNA from 1 species
GCUAAGCCGCCGACCGGCCCUGCUCGGCCGCCGAGAGCCGCGCGCUGCGCUCCGCCGCGGGGCAGGGCUGACGCCGCAGCGGACGCGGGCCCCGGCCGUCGGCACCGGAAGGAGGAGAAGGAGGAGGAGGGCGCGGAGGCGCUCGGGUCCCCGCCGACCAGCCGGGGGUACUGGCCGCGGCGCUCCGCACGUGCGGCGACCCGCCCUGUGCGCCAUGGCGCGUCGGCCCCGGUUGCCGGGUGCCGCCCCUUAGCGCCGAGGCGGCCCAGCGACCCCGGGACCCGGGACCCCCGGGCAUGGAGCCGCACGUGCUCGGCGCUCUCCUCUACUGGCUGCUGCUACCCUUCGCGCUCCUGGCCGCCUGCCUGUUCCGCUGCAACGCGCUCUCGCUGGUCUACCUGCUGUUCCUGCUGCUGCUGCCCUGGCUCCCGGGCCCCUCCUGGCACAGCCUCCGAGGUCACACUGGCCGCCUCCUCCGAGCCCUGCUGGUCUUCAGCCUCCUCUUCCUGGCAGCCCACUUUGCCUUCCAGAUAUGUCUGUACACCGUGCCCCACCUGGACCAGCUUCUGGGACCGAGCUGCAGCCCCUGGGAGACCCUCUCCCGACACAUAGGUGUCACGAGGUUGGACCUGAAGGACAUCCCCAACACCGUCCGGCUGGUGGCCCCCGACCUGGGCAUCCUGGUGGUCUCCUCCGUGUGCCUCGGCCUCUGCGGGCGCCUCACACGGGACUCCCAGCGGCGCCAGCACACCCGGGAGCUGGUGAGGGCUGCGGGCGGGCCGGACCGCGUGUCAGAGGGAGGGCUCUCUAGGGCUGUGUCCAGCUGUCUGAGGACGAUUUUAUGUUCGUUUAGUACAAACAUGGACUCUUUAGUUGUGAGAGUUGGUAUGUGCUCACUGUGAAGAGAUGACACACCAGGGAGAGAGGUGUCGUCCCCUUGGGGGGGCAGCAGUGUGGCGUGCCCCUCUAAGACCUGGGCCUGGCAGGGCUCCUUCUCGGGCAGACACGUGCAGGGAGCCCCAGCCAGCAUCUGCGCCCUCAGACCCUUCCUGGAGGAGACUCCUGGUGGCCACAGGGCAGUAGGGAACCAGCAGCAUCAGAGGGUGGUCUGUGCCGGCCGUCAGGGAGCACCCUGGGACGGGUGGACAGAUGGACAGACGCUGAGCAGCCACACCCACAGCAGGGGCAUCAUCGGUGGGGCUGCGGGCAGGGCGGGGCCAUGCAGGCUCAGAGCCCAGCGAGGCCCUAAGUCAGACUGUCCUUGGAGGGACCAUCCAGGGGUCUUCUUCGGGUGGGGCUGAGCACUGGGCCCUUCGAUGUCCUCUGUGGUCGAAGGCUCAGUGUCCUCUGCCCUGCACUGAGGCUGCGCUUGCCAGCCCAGCCUGGCCCCCCACACCUGGCCUCGGGCUCCAUCCAGGGAUCCCGGCACAAGAGCUCCCUCUGGGGAGGCCCUGGCAGCCACAGGCCCACCCCCCCACCACCAAGUCCCAGCGUUUACUUGUCCAACUGAUGCUUGCUGGGCACUAGGGCCUUGACCUCCAGAGAGCCCAGAGAGGCGAGGGGCUUCCCAGGGCCACACAGCAGGUCAGGGGCGACUCUGCCUGCAGCUCAUGUGGCCCCUGUCCCACCCCUCCACGUCCUCGACCUGCAGGGCAAGACUGAUGCCCCAUUUCAAAGUGGGAACGCAGCCUGGAGGUCGAGGGGCUUCUCUGGGCAGUUGUGGGGGAAGCCAGGGCUGGGACUGCCCUUCUGGCUGCCCUCGGGACACCCCUUCCCUGGGCCUCCCAGCUCGGUUGGCCCUUCUCCAGCCCCACGGUGGUGUGUGGGUGCCAGCGGGUUCGUGGGCCAGGGCUGCCUCUGGCUUCCUCGUUAGUGGAGCUGGGCCUUCCCAGAACGGCUCUGCCGGGAAAGGCUGGACUCAUCCCCCAACCUGGGGUGGGCGGGCUCAGCCCCACUCCACGCUGCCAUCGCCCCUCAGAGCACGUGCUGCCCUGGCGGCACCUGGAGGCUGGACUCUGGUCUAUAGGGCACUGGGUCAGGCCCCCGUCACUCGAGCGUCCUCGGUGGCAGAUAGGGGCCUGCGUGUCCUGCCAACCCCAGACGGCUGUAUAGACGCUGAGCGAGGAGGUAGGGGCACCCUUCCCAGGUGCCCACUUUUAGAGACCAGAGCCAGGAGCAACCCAAAUGCCCUCUGCACGUACGACACUGCCCAGCAGGACCACACGUGCACACAGUUGCACAUGACCCACGUACGUGCACACGUCCUGACUUCACACGCAUGCACAUGCCCUGAGGGGGCAGACGGGCUGUGGUGGGAGGUGCGGAGACAUGUGGAAACUUCUGCUGAGCCUGUGGGCCUGUGGGACGUGCCGAGUCGGGCCGGAGCCAGGCCUAGCUGGCCUGGACGCCGCAGGCGGCCCCAAGCACCUGUGCGUCCACCCUGCAGCUGCUUCUGUCCCUCCCACUCCCAGAAACGCUCAUUUUUCACGGGCCUUCCCAGAAACUUUCCCAGGGCCAGGGCCAGGACCAGCUGUGGGCGGGGGAGCCAGGCCUGGCUGCCGCGCCCUCCGGCCGUCUCCCUGUCCCAGGCGGCCGGGCCCCCAGCCCUCACAGUCAGGGUCUGACAGAGGCACCCUGACCUCAAGGGCUCCUGCUCCGCUGUCUCAGUCCUUCCUACCCUGGGCCCCGUUCCCCUGGUCUACCCCUCCCCUCCUUCCACGCACAGCUCACCGGCCUCCCUGGGGCCUCCAGACCCCCAGCUUGGUGAGGGCAGGACCUGUGUCUGGUUCGUCUCUCCUGCCUGGUCUCACCCACAUUGACAGGCGGGAAACAGAGGGGUUAGGUGACUUGCCCGAGGCUGCACAGAUGGGAGACUUGGAGCUGGGCUUCGGCCAGGUCUCCUGGCUCCAGAGCCUGUGCUCUCCGCUCGGACGCCAAGUGCCCCUCAGCUGCUGGGAAGGGCACAUGCACAGCACCCAUUUUACAGAUGGGGACGCGGGGCGCCUGACGCAGAGUCCGGGUUCUCUUUGCCUCCCCUGGCUCCGCCCAACGUCCAGGAAACAGCUCUGUUCUGGGGAACCUUGAGGCUGGGCAGGGACACAGACCCUGGUGGAUCCCGUGCCCCACCCCACCCCACAGCAGGUGAGGCCUGGAGGGGCCGUCUGUUUCCUCGUCCCUCCAGAGGGCAGCCUCCAGGCACCGCGUGUCCG